CUGUUGCAAUUUUAAUGGAGUAGCCUACAGAUGUCGUACGAAGACUUAAGCCCGAUCGGAGUCAGCGCAAAUAUCUAAUCGACAGUUUCGCAAUGUCAUUUCACCCUUGUAAAAGUUCUAUCGUUGGUUCGACUCGAUAAUUGAUUCAGAUCAUUAAACAAGCUGGCGUUGCUCAGUGAUUUGCCAAACGUGUCUUAAAUUAAACAAGGGAUAGUCGGGAGUGAGCGAAAGACAAACGUAAAAAAUUAUUUCACGUAGAUAGACGGAUGCACCCUAACCAAAGGCCAUUGUCUUCGGAUUCACUCACCUUUGAUUGUACGAGAGGAUGAAAGUUACGGGAAGUCUUGUGAGAUUAAAAUAUCACCAACGAAAUCAAUCGACGAGUACAAUCCAAUAAGAGGAGAAUUUUCAACUCCUAAGCUCUGCAGCCAUUCAUCUUGUGUUUCAUCUUCCUCAUCAUCAAGAUUUUGAUUCUCUGUAUAGCUCAAUGAUGUAGCUGAAUCUGCUGUAUCAUAUCCUGAAUCAGUUACAUCUGAUUGCCGUUUACAAUCUUUUCUCAAAGGCAUUGUAUAUUCAAUUUCUAUGAAACAUGUACAAAUGAAAAAUAAAAUGACGUCAAAAAUUUUCACUA
rnacentral:lncRNA from 1 species